GUCGAAUCAAAAACCUAGGGAGGAGGGGCCUGCGGAAGUUUGGUUCUCUAGUUCAUCGAAGUGUAAAGAGCGAGAGUACCAGAAAGGAGGUUGAGGAGGUUAUUCCCCCUCGACAACCAAACAUCAGUGCAGUUGGUCAGAAGGAAAAAACGGUCAAGUUGGUUGUUGAUGAUAGCUCCAUUAGGAACAGGGGAGAAUACAAAGCGGCUAAUGGAAG
rnacentral:misc_RNA from 1 species